rnacentral:rRNA from 1 species
GGGGUAUAGUUCUUCGGAAUUAGAGACCGGCGCACGGGUGCGUAACGCGUAUGCAAUCUACCUUUUACAGAGGGAUAGCCCAGAGAAAUUUGGAUUAAUACCUCAUAGCAUAGCAGCUUCGCAUGAAGCCACUAUUAAAGUCACAACGGUAAAAGAUGAGCAUGCGUCCCAUUAGCUAGUUGGUAAGGUAACGGCUUACCAAGGCUACGAUGGGUAGGGGUCCUGAGAGGGAGAUCCCCCACACUGGUACUGAGACACGGACCAGACUCCUACGGGAGGCAGCAGUGAGGAAUAUUGGACAAUGGGCGCAAGCCUGAUCCAGCCAUGCCGCGUGCAGGAUGACGGUCCUAUGGAUUGUAAACUGCUUUUAUACGAGAAGAAACACUACUUCGUGAAGUAGCUUGACGGUAUCGUAAGAAUAAGGAUCGGCUAACUCCGUGCCAGCAGCCGCGGUAAU